rnacentral:rRNA from 1 species
UUGGGUUUAAAGGGAGCGUAGGCCGGAGAUUAAGCGUGUUGUGAAAUGUAGAUGCUCAACAUCUGAACUGCAGCGCGAACUGGUUUCCUUGAGUACGCACAAAGUGGGCGGAAUUCGUGGUGUAGCGGUGAAAUGCUUAGAUAUCACGAAGAACUCCGAUUGCGAAGGCAGCUCACUGGAGCGCAACUGACGCUGAAGCUCGAAAGUGCGGGUAUCGAACAGGAUUAGAUACCCUGGUAGUCCGCACGGUAAACGAUGGAUGCCCGCUGUUGGUCUGGAUAGGUCAGCGGCCAAGCGAAAGCAUUAAGCAUCCCACCUGGGGAGUACGCCGGCAACGGUGAAACUCAAAGGAAUUGACGGGGGCCCGCACAAGCGGAGGAACAUGUGGUUUAAUUCGAUGAUACGCGAGGAACCUUACCCGGGCUUGAAUUGCAGAGGAAGGAUUUGGAGACAAUGACGCCCUUCGGGGUCUCUGUGAAGGUGCUGCAUGGUUGUCGUCAGCUCGUGCCGUGAGGUGUCGGCUUAAGUGCCAUAACGAGCGCAACCCCUCUCCUUAGUUGCCAUCAGGUUAAGCUGGGCAGGUCACUCUGGGGACACUGCCACCGUAAGGUGUGAGGAAGGUGGGGAUGACGUCAAAUCAGCACGGGCCCCUUACGUCCGGGGCUACACACGUGUUACAAUGGCAGGUACAGAGAGACGGUCCCUUGCAAAAUGGAUCAAAUCCUUAAAGCCUGUCUCAGUUCGGACUGGGGUCUGCAACCCGACCCCACGAAGCUGGAUUCGCUAGUAAUCGCGCAUCAGCCAUGGCGCGGUGAAUACGUUCCCG